GGCCCAACUUUGAAGUAGAGUAGAUUAGAAGGAUCAUCUGACCCUACUAAAUUACUCUUCUUCGUGUUUCUGCCC
rnacentral:pre_miRNA from 1 species